AUCCAGCAAACCAGUGGCCCAUCUUGUCCUCCUUCACGCCCCUCCCCAACCGUGAAGCACAACCAAUGGGAUCUACCCAAGCCCACACAUACAACAAGCUGUCGUCUAGCCUUUCAUGUUGCCAAGUUGCAAUCCCCCACCAUUCCAAAUCAAACCCUAAAGAACCAACCACGCUGCUAGUUAGUUCCUGAAAGCUACGGUGUAAGAGGAAUUGAGAAGAGAUGUUGAAGUAAAGGAGUUGAGGGAAGUCUAAUGCGUAGCCAACGAUAUUACCAGAUUGAAGCGAUAAAAUGCAGUGUUUGAUUUAAUGAAGCUAUGUGUUUUAUAUGAGCAACGGUAUUAAACAGAAGCGGUAGUUCAAUGCAAUGCGUAUUGGUUUUUAGUGAAACAGUGCGUCUUGAAGAUGGAGGGAAUGGAAAUAGAAGGCUCGAUGAAUUGUUGAAGAUUGACUUCGUGUUGGAGGUUAAAGAUUCCUCAAAAACCUUUUCCAAGAAUUAAUGCAAGGGAUUCUUGGUUCA